rnacentral:rRNA from 1 species
GCGCGCAAAUUACCCACUCCCAGAACGGGGAGGUAGUGACGAAAAAUAACAAUACGGGACUCUUUUGAGACCCCGUAAUUGGAAUGAGUACACUCUAAAUCCUUUAACGAGGAUCCAUUGGAGGGUAAGUCUGGUGCCAGCAACCGCGGUAAUUCCAGCUCCAAUAGCGUAUAUUAAAGUUGUUGCGGUUAAAAAGCUCGUAGUUGGAUCUCAGUUCCAGACGGGUGGUCCGCCUACCGGUGGUUACUGCCUGUUCUGAACAGUCAGCCGGUUUCUCUUGAUGAUCUUCACCGGUUGUCUUGGGUGACCGGCAAGUUUACUUUGAAAAAAUUAGAGUGCUCAAAGCAGGCGUGACGCCUGAAUAAUGGUGCAUGGAAUAAUGGAAUAGGACCUCGGUUCUAUUUUGUUGGUUUUCGGAACACGAGGUAAUGAUUAAGAGGGACAGACGGGGGCAUUCGUAUUGCGACGCUAGAGGUGAAAUUCUUGGACCGUCGCAAGACGAACUACUGCGAAAGCAUUUGCCAAGAAUGUUUCCAUUAAUCAAGAACGAAAGUUAGAGGUUCGAAGGCGAUCAGAUACCGCCCUAGUUCUAACCAUAAACGAUGCCAGCCAGCGAUCCGGCUGUGUUCCUCAAAUGACACGCCGGGCAGCUUCCGGGAAACCAAAGCUUUUGGUUC